rnacentral:rRNA from 1 species
CAGUAGCCGCGGUAAUACAGAGGGUGCGAGCGUUAAUCGGAUUUACUGGGCGUAAAGCGUGCGUAGGCGGCUUCUUAAGUCGGAUGUGAAAUCCCUGAGCUUAACUUAGGAAUUGCAUUCGAUACUGGGAAGCUAGAGUAUGGGAGAGGAUGGUAGAAUUCCAGGUGUAGCGGUGAAAUGCGUAGAGAUCUGGAGGAAUACCGAUGGCGAAGGCAGCCAUCUGGCCUAAUACUGACGCUGAGGUACGAAAGCAUGGGGAGCAAACAGGAUUAGAGACCCCUGUAGUCCUGUCUCUUAUACA